rnacentral:tRNA from 1 species
GGGGAUAGAGCUCAGUGGAAGAGCACAUGCUUAGAAUGCACGAGAUCCUGGGUUCAAUCCCCAGUAUCUCCA